rnacentral:rRNA from 1 species
UACGUAGGUGGCGAGCGUUAUCCGGAAUGAUUGGGCGUAAAGGGUGCGUAGGCGGGCUUUUAAGUCAGCGGUAAAAAUUCGGGGCUCAACCCCGUCCGGCCGUUGAAACUGGGGAUCUAGAGUGUGCGAGAGGUAUGCGGAAUGCGUGGUGUAGCGGUGAAAUGCAUAGAUAUCACGCAGAACUCCGAUUGCGAAGGCAGCAUACCGGCGCUCAACUGACGCUGAGGCACGAAAGCGUGGGUAUCGAACAGG